GGAUCAUUAAAGAGUUUAAUAAAACUCCUAAACCCCUGUGAACUUACUGGUGUUUGGCUCGCCAGAUAUAGUCUGGUCCGUAAGCAAAUCGACUGCCUGCCUAUGUAACAGGCAGGUAAGCUUUUGUCGCGGGGUCCCGGAUCAACCCGGGCUAGAUAGCCACUUAACUAUAUACUUUUUAUAAAAUCUGUGAACUUACUAGGUUGGAUUCUCGCCAGAGAUAGUCUGGUUUCUGCUUCGCGGAUCGCCUACCCGUGACACCUGUCACAGGCAGGUAUGCUUCUGCCGCGGGUCCGUAAGUAAAUCAUCUGUUUCGCAAGGGACGGCGAUUUACCUGUGGAAGAGGUCCGCUAACUAUAUUCUUAGUAUAGUUUGUUCACUAGAUCAAACAUUCUGAAUAAAAACUUAAACUAGUUAAAACUUUCAACAACGGAUCUCUUGGUUCUGGCAUCGAUGAAGAACGCAGCGAAAUGCGAUAAGUAAUGUGAAUUGCAGAAUUCAGUGAAUCAUCGAAUCUUUGAACGCACAUUGCGCCCAUUAGUAUUCUAGUGGGCAUGCCUGUUCGAGCGUCAUUUCAACCCUUAAGCCCCUGUUGCUUAGCGUUGGGAGCCUACAGCCUGCUGUAGCUCCUUAAAGGUAGUGGCGGAGUCGGUUCACACUCUAGACGUAGUAAAAUCUUUAUCUCGCCUAUGGAUGAGCCGGCGCCUUGCCGUAAAACCCCUAAUCUUUCACAAGGUUGACCUCGGAUCAGGUAGGAAUACCCGCUGAACUUAAGCAUAUCAAUAAGCGGAGGAAAAGAAACCAACAGGGAUUGCCCUAGUAACGGCGAGUGAAGCGGCAACAGCUCAAAUUUGAAAUCUGGCCUUCGGGUCCGAGUUGUAAUUUGCAGAGGAUGCUUUGGGCGCGGUGCCUUCCGAGUUCCCUGGAACGGGACGCCUUAGAGGGUGAGAGCCCCGUACGGUUGGACACCAAGCCUCUGUAAAGCUCCUUCGACGAGUCGAGUAGUUUGGGAAUGCUGCUCUAAAUGGGAGGUAAAUUUCUUCUAAAGCUAAAUAUUGGCCAGAGACCGAUAGCGCACAAGUAGAGUGAUCGAAAGAUGAAAAGCACUUUGAAAAGAGGGUUAAAUAGCACGUGAAAUUGUUGAAAGGGAAGCGUUUGCGACCAGACCUUUUCCCAGCGGAUCAUCCGGUGUUCUCACCGGUGCACUUCGCUGGGUUGAGGCCAGCAUCGGUUUCCGCAGGGGGAUAAAAGCCUGGGGAACGUAGCUCCCUCGGGAGUGUUAUAGCCCCUCGCAUAAUACCCUUGCGGGGACCGAGGACCGCGC
rnacentral:rRNA from 1 species